rnacentral:rRNA from 1 species
AACGAACGCUGGCGGCGUGCCUAAGACAUGCAAGUCGUGCGGAAAGGCUCCUUCGGGAGUACUCGAGCGGCGCACGGGUGAGUAACACGUUGGGUAAUCUACCUGAGGGUCUGGGAUAACCCCGGGAAACUGGGGCUAAUACCGGAUGAGACCCACGGCGUCCUCGGACGCAGCGGUCAAAGGUGGCCUCUCCUUGGAAGCUAUCGCCCGCAGAUGAGCCCGCGUCCCAUUAGCUAGUGGCGGGUAACGGCCCACCAAGGCGACGAUGGGUAGCUGGUCUGAGAGGAUGAUCAGCCACACUGGAACUGAGACACGGUCCAGACUCCUACGGGAGGCAGCAGUCGGGAAUUUUGGGCAAUGGGCGAAAGCCUGACCCAGCAACGCCGCGUGAGGGAUGAAGGCC